rnacentral:misc_RNA from 1 species
UCUCUACUUGCGUAGGCAGUCUCACUAGAGUCCUCAACUGAAUGGUAGCAACUAGUGACAGGGGUUGCGCUCGUUGCAGGACUUAACCUAACACCUCACGGCACGAGCUGACGACAACCAUGCAGCACCUUGAAAAUUGCCCGAAGGAGGAUCUAUUUCUAAAUCUGUCAAUUCCCAUUUAAGUCUUGGUAAGGUUCCUCGCGUAUCAUCGAAUUAAACCACAUAAUCCACCGCUUGUGCGGGCCCCCGUCAAUUCCUUUGAGUUUCAUUCUUGCGAACGUACUCCCCAGGUGGCUUACUUAUCACUUUCGCUUGGUCUCUGAAUCCGAAAAUCCAAAAACGAGUAAGCAUCGUUUACGGCGUGGACUAC